rnacentral:rRNA from 1 species
GUCUACGGCCAUGCCACCCUGAAUGUGCCCUAUCUCGUCCGAUCUCAGAAGCUAAGCAGGUUUGGGCCUGGUUAGUACUUGGAUGGGAGACCACCUAAGAAUACCGGGUGCUGUAAGCU